GAGUUUGAUCGUGGCUCAGGACGAACGCUGGCGGCGUGCUUAACACAUGCAAGUCGAACGAGAAUCUACUGAAAGAGUUUUCGGACAAUGGAAGUAGAGGAAAGUGGCGGACGGGUGAGUAACGCGUGAGGAACCUGCCUUGAAGAGGGGACAACAGUUGGAAACGACUGCUAAUACCGCAUGAUGCAUAGGGGUCGCAUGAUUCUUAUGCCAAAGAUUUAUCGCUUCAAGAUGGCCUCGCGUCUGAUUAGCUAGUUGGCGGGGUAACGGCCCACCAAGGCGACGAUCAGUUAGCCGGA
rnacentral:rRNA from 1 species